AUUCCUACGGGGGGCAGCAGUGAGGAAUAUUGCGCAAUGGGGGAAACCCUGACGCAGCGACGCCGCGUGGGCGAAGAAGGCCUUCGGGUCGUAAAGCCCUGUCUAGAGGGAAGAAAUUCUCAAUGGAAUAAUACCUAUUGAGAUUGACGGUACCUCUGGAGGAAGCACCGGCUAACUCCGUGCCAGCAGCCGCGGUAAUACGGAGGGUGCUAGCGUUGUUCGGAAUUACUGGGCGUAAAGCGGGUGUAGGCGGUUUGUUAAGUCAGAUGUGAAAGCCCAGGGCUUAACCCUGGAAGUGCAUCCGAAACUGCCUCGCUUGAGUGUCGGAGAGGGCGGUGGAAUUCCUGGUGUAGAGGUGAAAUUCGUAGAUAUCAGGAGGAACACCCGUGGCGAAGGCGACCACCUGGACGAACACUGACGCUGAGGCGCGAAAGCGUGGGGAGCAAACAGGAUUAGAUACCCUGGUAGUCCACGCCGUAAACGAUGGGUACUAGGUGUUGCGGGUAUUGACCCCUGCAGUGCCGACGCUAACGCAUUAAGUACCCCGCCUGGGAAGUACGGCCGCAAGGUUAAAACUCAAAGGAAUUGACGGA
rnacentral:rRNA from 1 species